CGGUGAAGCCCAGCUUGCUGGGUGGAUCAGUGGCGAACGGGUGAGUAACACGUGAGUAACCUGCCCCUGACUCUGGGAUAAGCCUUGGAAACGAGGUCUAAUACCGGAUACGUGACGCUCAGGCAUCUGAUGCGUCUGGAAAGAUUUAUCGGUCAGGGAUGGACUCGCGGCCUAUCAGCUUGUUGGUGGGGUAACGGCCCACCAAGGCGACGACGGGUAGCCGGCCUGAGAGGGCGACCGGCCACACUGGGACUGAGACACGGCCCAGACUCCUACGGGAGGCAGCAGUGGGGAAUAUUGCACAAUGGGCGCAAGCCUGAUGCAGCGACGCCGCGUGAGGGAUGAAGGCCUUCGGGUUGUAAACCUCUUUCAGCAGGGAAGAAGCGCAAGUGACGGUACCUGCAGAAGAAGCGCCGGCUAACUACGUGCCAGCAGCCGCGGUAAUACGUAGGGCGCAAGCGUUGUCCGGAAUUAUUGGGCGUAAAGAGCUCGUAGGCGGUUUGUCGCGUCUGCUGUGAAAACUCGAGGCUCAACCUCGGGCUUGCAGUGGGUACGGGCAGACUAGAGUGCGGUAGGGGAGACUGGAAUUCCUGGUGUAGCGGUGGAAUGCGCAGAUAUCAGGAGGAACACCGAUGGCGAAGGCAGGUCUCUGGGCCGCAACUGACGCUGAGGAGCGAAAGCAUGGGGAGCGAACAGGAUUAGAUACCCUGGUAGUCCAUGCCGUAAACGUUGGGCACUAGGUGUGGGGCUCAUUCCACGAGUUCCGUGCCGCAGCAAACGCAUUAAGUGCCCCGCCUGGGGAGUAC
rnacentral:rRNA from 1 species